UCUGAGGAGGCAAAAAAAAAGAAAAAGAGAGGCUACUCGGAUAAAAGCACAGUCCAGGAUCGACAUUGGCCCGGCUUUCACUCGCUGGCGUGAGCUGAAAGAUCAGGAGGGAUUUCCGACCGACGCUGCCUUGGCUCUGUUCCUGCUGGACUACUAUCAAAAGGAGCAAGUAACUUCUACUCCCCACAAGCAACACCUCCAACCACUGCAGCAUAUAGUUUCCAGCAUAACAGAAGAGGUCGGACCAUGAUAGGGGAGAACUGAUAGAGGGUGUCCAAAUCCUGGAAGAAGGCACUGGGGCAAAAGAAGCUGGUGUAUUAGAGGCCAGGUGAGUUUCUGUAAAUGGGUUGAUGGUGUGAGCCCUUGGUCAUCUGUCUGGGAACACUUGCCUACUGUUUCACAACACUGGCAUAAUGAGUUGCGUCAUUCACCAAAGGUCCCAUGCUGUUUGCUCAUGGGCUCAGGCACAUUGCACAGGACUCACAUGGAACAGUAUGCUGAGUGGUGCAGGACAGAAGGGGAGGGACUUCUGUCACAAACAGUGCAUCACAGCUCAGACGGGCUGGUGCAGCCAGAGACCAGUCUGAAAUCUUGCCUUGGAUUAAAGACAUUGUGAACCAUUUCUGGUACUGUGCCAAGCAGACAUCCACUGUCGAGCAGUUCAAGAUGAAAUGGCAUGCUGUAAUUCAUCACAUUCGGAACCAGCACACAUGGGCCACUGGAUCUUGUGAGCAUGAGCCACUGGGUGAAGAUAUACAGGAAAAACCAUGGAUAAAACAAGGUUCAGCAGCUCACCAGGCUCUUGUAGCCAUCGUCCUGGAGAAGCGAUGAUUGAAGAAUGUUGUGAAGUUCAUCAACUUCAGGACAACAUCCGAUCUGGAAAGCUUCCAGAAUCACAUACUCAUGUAUGCAGGAAAGCGGUUCUCCUAUACUCCAGCAGUGUAUCGGACGCGGACUCUGCUUGCUGCGAUAGACUACAACUGUGACAAUGGCCGCGCCCCGGCACGAAACAAAGAUGGACACAAGAUUUACAGACGAUGCUACAAUAAGAAGUCCAAAUCCUGGAGUGUCUGCACAGUGAAGGAAAAGAAGUACUCCUACAUUCAAGACCUGCAGAGAGGCAUUCUUCGGAAGAGGCUUGAAAGUGGAGGUGGCCUUCCCAAGACACAGACCCUGAGGCCAGAUGACCCCCGGAAUUUCGGGGUUCUGGCUUCAACACAGCCGCCACCAACAGCUGAGCUUGUGAGGACGCACGUGAAAUAUGGUGAAGGUGUUCCCCAAAGUGAACACUGACGAUCCUUCCUUGUCUGCUUUCAUAAAUGCACAUCAAUACAACAUAUCACUCUGACAGGCUGACUACAG